rnacentral:rRNA from 1 species
AUUGAACGCUGGCGGCAUGCCUAACACAUGCAAGUCGAACGGUAACAGGCCCUUCGGGGUGCUGACGAGUGGCGGAUGGGUGAGUAAUACUUAGGAAUCUACCCUGUAGUGGGGGACGAACCCGGGGAAACGUCGGGCUAAUACCGCAUACGCUCUACGGAGGAAAGCGGGGACCGGCAAGGCCUCGCGCUAUUGGAUGAGCCUAAGCCCGAUUAGCUAGUUGGUGGGGUAAUAGCCUACCAAGGCAAUGAUCGGUAGCUGGUCUGAGAGGACGACCAGCCACACUGGGACUGAGACACGGCCCAGACUCCUACGGGAGGGCAGCAGUGGGGAAUAUUGGACAAUGGGCGAAAGCCUGAUCCAGCGAUGCCGCGUGUGUGAAGAAGGCCUGCGGGGCUGU